rnacentral:rRNA from 1 species
GACGAACGCUGGCGGCGUGCCUAAUACAUGCAAGUCGAACGCAGUGGGGACGGGUGAGUAACACUUGGUUAACCUCCCCCUCAGAGGGGAUAACACUUGGAAACAGGUGCUAAACCGAUACUGAUGGAUGGACACGCGGUGCAUUAGCUAGUUGGUGAGGUAACGGCUCACCAAGGCCACGAUGCAUAGCCGACCUGAGAGGGUGAUCGGCCAAACUGGGACGGAGCAACGGCCCAGACUCCUACGGGAGGAAGCAGUAGGGAAUCGUCGGCAAUGGACGAAAGGCUGACCGAGCAAAGCCGCGGGAGUGAAGAAGGUUUUCGGAUCGUAAAACUCUGUUGUUAGAGAAGCGGUAUCUAACCAGAAAGCCACGGCUAACUACGUGCCAGCAGCCGCGGUAAUUC